rnacentral:misc_RNA from 1 species
GAUGAAGAACGUAGCGAAAUGCGAUAAGUAAUGUGAAUUGCAGAAUUCAGUGAAUCAUCGAAUCUUUGAACGCACAUUGCGCCCGCCAGUAUUCUGGCGGGCAUGCCUGUUCGAGCGUCAUUUCAACCAUCAAGCCCCCGGCUUGUGUUGGGGACCUGCGGCUGCCGCAGGCCCUGAAAAGCAGUGGCGGGCUCGCUGUCACACCGAGCGUAGUAGCAUACAUCUCGCUCUGGGCGUGCUGCGGGUUCCGGCCGUUAAACCACCUUCAUAACCCAAGGUUGACCUCGGAUCAGGUAGGAAGACCCUCUGAACUUAAGCAUAUCAAUAAGCGGAGGA